AACGAACGCUGGCGGCAUGCCUAACACAUGCAAGUCGAACGGGAUCCGGACUUCGGUCCGGUGAGAGUGGCGGACGGGUGAGUAACACGUGGGAACCUGCCUUUUGGUUCGGGAUAACCGCGGGAAACUGCGGCUAAUACCGGAUGCUCCCGAGAGGGAAAAGAUUUAUCGCCAGAAGAGGGGCCCGCGUCCGAUUAGGUAGUUGGUGGGGUAAUGGCCUACCAAGCCGACGAUCGGUAGCUGGUCUGAGAGGAUGAUCAGCCACACUGGGACUGAGAUACGGCCCAGACUCCUACGGGAGGCAGCAGUGGGGAAUAUUGGACAAUGGGGGCAACCCUGAUCCAGCAAUGCCGCGUGAGUGAUGAAGGCCUUAGGGUUGUAAAGCUCUUUUGCCAGGGAAGAUGAUGACUGUACCUGGAGAAUAAAGCCCCGGCUAACUUCGUGCCAGCAGCCGCGGUAAU
rnacentral:rRNA from 1 species